ensembl:lncRNA
GGGCGAGGCGUGGGGCGCCAGGAGGGACCGAGGCUGACCACCCAGCUGCUCUGAAACGCCCAAGGCCAGGCAGUAUUUUAGUUUUUUGUUUUUUCUUAAUAGUAGUAGUUCUGAUUUUCAUUCUGUGACAUUUUGCCAAAGCUGUGAUUUGAGAUAAUAUCUUGGGUCAUCCGAGUAGUUGGCUGUUUUUGCCCCUAUUGCUGCUCCUGCUACUAUAGUUUAUACAUUACUCAAUAAGUUUAAAUGUAAACUUAAGAGUUUGAUAUUUGUUACCGCUUUACAAGUGCAAGGGUGUUUGUUACCAGAUGUUAGACGAGCUACCACAGUUGUUACCAGACAUGGAGGUGAAACCACCUGUUUGUCACCAGACAUGGAGGUGAAACCACCUGUUUGUCACCAGACAUGGAGGUGAAACCACCUGUUUGUCACCAGACAUGGAGGUGAAACCACCUGUUUGUCACCAGACAUGGAGGUGAAACCACCUGUUUGUUGUCCAGAAUAGGACCCGUGGUGGAGGGCAGCUAGUGGGGAGCAGUGCUGGAGGACCUGCUGGGAAGGACAUCCCUCGUUGGGGUAAAGACACCCGUCUCUGAGAUGUGAAGGCUGCAGAGGACCCACCAGGAUCCCCUUGGAGGACAACCAUUGGACUACGUGAGGUCUUUGGAAGCACUACAGUUCAGAAUGCCUUCCAAAGAAUGAAGCCCACCCCCAUGGCUCAGCUAGUGGCGUUCACCGGACCAGGAACCCCAAGACCUGAAGGAGGAGCCGUGCAUCUGGAGGAACACCAUGAGGCUACCCGCCAAGUAUUACUCUGAGCUCUGCAGGGUGGUCAGGACGGCUGGAGACGUGGAGGACGGGGCGGGGAGCCAGGCUCACCAGUGAUCUCCUGGGCGAGGCGUGGGGCGCCAGGAGGGACCGAGGCCGACCACCAAGCUGUUCUGAAACGCUGAAGAAUAGGACCCGUGGUGGAGGGCAGCUAGUGGGGAGCAGUGCUGGAGGACCUGCUGGGAAGGACAUCCCUCGUAGGGGUAAAGACACCCGUCUCUGAGAUGUGAAGGCUGCAGAGGACCCACCAGGAUCCCCUUGGAGGACAACAAAUGGACUACGUGAGGUCUUUGGAAGCACUACAGUUCAGAAGGCCUUCCAAAGAAUGAAGCCCAGCCCCCAUGGCUCAGCUAGUGGCGUUCAGCGGACCAGGAACCCUGAGACCUGAAGGAGGAGCCGUGCAUCUGGAGGAACACCAUGAGGCUACCUGCCAAGUAUUACUCACUUCCACGAGGAGGGGGGCUGGCGGCUGGAGGACCUCCCUACUGGUGGGGCGAGUGACACCCGGCUCUACAGGGAUGACCACGGAGGAGAGAGAGCUGAAGCUGUGCAUCCUGAAGGGGAAUCUGCUACUGAUGGCGCGGUUGAAGUGCUGUGUUCAGUCUGGGAAGGACACACCUGAGCUGUUUCACCCUGAGCUGCUUCACACCUGCAUCUCUAACCAGCUGAAGCCCUUCAGUGACCAACAAAAGGUGCCUCAUCACAGCUUAUCAUCGCUGGCCUGAGGAUUCAUCCCCUACACUCACACAACGUGACUUUGUCACCAUCUGCUGCACGUUGGGAUGCUAACGUGUUCCACCAGGGGUUCCUUCCUUCCCGCAGUGGGAGUGUUCCUUGUCCUUCAAGGAGUUAGGGUUCAGUGUUAGGGACAGAGUUAGGGAGAGAUGGUUGAGUCCUGGCUGGUUUACGAUGAACUGCUCUAACGCUUUGCCAAAAUGUUUCAAUGUGCAAACACUCACAAACACAUACAAUGUAUAAUAAGUGUUUAUGAAAUAAAUUCUGUUAUAAUUCUGCAUGUUUGUGUAGGGGUUUUAUUACCAUUAAACAAUUUUCUCUCACCGCAACCUCCCCACUGCUCUCACCUUAACGUCACCUUAACGUCCCC